GCGUGACCCUUAAUCGAGAACAGUGUCGGUUGGGGAGUUUGACUGGGGCGGUACAUCUGUCAAACGGUAACGUAGGUGUCCCAAGGCGAGCUCAGCGUGGACGGAAACCACACUUCGAGGAAAAGAGCAAAAGCUCGCUCGAUCUCGAUUCUCAGUACGAAUACGUUCGCGAGAAGAGACUCAAUAGAUCAAUAGAUCAAUAGAUCGAAGGACUGCAAUACCGAUGAAAGAAGUGU
rnacentral:ncRNA from 1 species